rnacentral:misc_RNA from 1 species
GGGUUUCCUGUGUUGCAUACCUUUCUAAUGGUAUCGUUUUGAUUGAUCGAAGUCCCUUUUCAUCUUGUGUUGCUUUUUGCGACGCAUGAUGAACCUCGAGGCGGUCUCUAUGUUCCACUACGUUGAUGCUACUGUUUCGAUGUUGUGGCCCAUUGAGCGUUGCUUGGUUUUGUGGAUACAGAACAUGAUUUGGGCAUAGGGUUACUUGUGACUCUUGUUCUGUCCUUUAUCAGUGUUCUUUAUAACGACGGUUCAUGCGCGCCUAGGCUCGUACCUGCGCGAUGUUCUUUGUCGAAGAGGAAUGCUACCUGGUUGAUCCUGCCAGUAGUCAUAUGCUUGUCUCAAAGAUUAAGCCA